CACGGGGGGAGCAAGCGUUGUUCGGAUUCAUUGGGCGUAAAGGGUGCGUAGGCGGCGCGGUGAGUCGGGUGUGAAAUCUCGGAGCUUAACUCCGAAACUGCAUUCGAUACUGCCGUGCUUGAGGACUGGAGAGGAGACUGGAAUUUACGGUGUAGCGGUGAAAUGCGUAGAUAUCGUAAGGAAGACCAGUGGCGAAGGCGGGUCUCUGGACAGUUCCUGACGCUGAGGCACGAAGGCCAGGGGAGCAAACGGG
rnacentral:rRNA from 1 species